GACGAACGCUGGCGGCGUGCUUAACACAUGCAAGUCGAACGGUAAGGCUCCAGCUUGCUGGGGUACACGAGUGGCGAACGGGUGCGUAACACGUGGGUGACCUGCCCUGCACUUCGGUAUAAGCCUGGGAAACUGGGUCUAAUACCGGAUAGGACCAUGGUGUGGAUACUGUGGUGGAAAGUUUUUUCGGUGUGGGAUGGGCCCGCGGCCUAUCAGCUUGUUGGUGGGGUAAUGGCCUACCAAGGCGGCGACGGGUAGCCGGCCUGAGAGGGUGGACGGCCACAUUGGGACUGAGAGACGGCGCAGACGCCUACGGGAGGCAGCAGUGGGGAAUAUUGCACAAUGGGCGGAAGCCGGAUGCAGCGACGCCGCGUGGGGGAUGACGGCCUUCGGGUUGUAAACUCCUUUCACCAUCGACGAAGGGUUUCUGACGGUAGAUGGAGAAGAAGCACCGGCUAACUACGUG
rnacentral:rRNA from 1 species